GCCCGUAUAGCUCAGUGGU
rnacentral:siRNA from 1 species